rnacentral:rRNA from 1 species
GAUGAACGCUGACAGAAUGCUUAACACAUGCCAGUCUACUUGAAUUUGGGUUUUUUAACUUAGAUUUGGGUGGCGGACGGGUGAGUAACGCGUAAAGAACUUGCCUCACAGCUAGGGACAACAUUUGGAAACGAAUGCUAAUACCUGAUAUUAUGAUUAUAAGGCAUCUUAGAAUUAUGAAAGCUAUAUGCGCUGUGAGAGAGCUUUGCGUCCCAUUAGCUAGUUGGAGAGGUAACGGCUCACCAAGGCGAUGAUGGGUAGCCGGCCUGAGAGGGUGAACGGCCACAAGGGGACGGGGAGACGGCACUUACGCCUAUGGGAGGCAGCAGGGGGGAAUAUUGGACAAUGGACCAAGAGUCUGAUCCAGCAAUUCUGUGGGAAAGAUGACGUUUUUCGGAAUGUAAAGUGCUUUCAGUUGGGAAGAAAAAAAUGACGGUACCAACAGAAGAAGUGACGGCUAAAUACGU